GCAGUUUCUGGGCGUCUAUCUCUUCAGGCAUUCAUUCCAUUACUACGAACUUAGAUACUCAUAAUUGUUCAACUGAAUGUUUUACUAUCUUUCUGCAACUAGGAGCUAAAUCAAGAGGUUGUGGAAUGUGCUGCAUGUGGAUCAUCAGGUUAUGCUAUUACAGGAGACUUGGCUUUGUUAGAGAAAUUGGUUGCAAAAACCGAUGCUCGAUACAUCAUUGUGGUGGAGAAGCACGCCAUAUUCCAGAGGCUAGUUGAAGACUGUGUUUUUAAUCAGAUACCAAGCAUCCUCAUCACAGGCAAAGGCUACCCAGACAUUGCUACAAGAUUCUUCCUGCACCGUUUGAGCAGUGCUUAUCCAGUGUUC